rnacentral:rRNA from 1 species
AUUGAACGCUGGCGGCAGGCUUAACACAUGCAAGUCGAGCGAGCGGCGGACGGGUGAGUAAUGUCUGGGAAACUGCCUGAUGGAGGGGGAUAACUACUGGAAACGGUAGCUAAUACCGCAUACUAUCGGAUGAACCCAUAUGGGAUUAGCUAGUAGGUGAGGUAAUGGCUCACCUAGGCAACGAUCCCUAGCUGGUCUGAGAGGAUGAUCAGCCAAACUUGGACUGGGACACGGCCCAGGCUUCUACGGGAGGCAGCAGUGGGGAAUAUUGCACGAUGGGGGCAAGGCUGAUGCAGCCAGGCCGCGUGUAUGGAGAAGGCCCUAGGGUUGUAAAGUACUUUCAGUCGGGAGGCGUUACCGACAGAAGAAGCACCGGCUAACUACGUGCCAGCCGCCGCGGUAAUU